rnacentral:rRNA from 1 species
AACGAACGCUGGCGGCAUGCCUAACACAUGCAAGUCGAACGAGACCUCCGGGACUAGUGGCGUACGGGUUCGUAACGCGUGGGAACCUGCCCUCAGGUUUGGCAUACCUCCCCGAAAGGGUGCUAAUACCGGAUAAUGUCUUCGGACCAAAGAUUUAUCGACUUUGGAUGGUUCCGCGUUGGAUUAGCUAGUUGGUAGGGUAAAAGCCUACCAAGGCGACGCUCCAUAGCUGGUCUGAGAGAAUGAUCAGCCACACUGGGAGUGGGACACGGCCCAGACUCCUACGGGAGGCAGCAGUGGGGGAUAUAGGACAGUGGCGGAAGUCCUGAUGGAGCAAGGCCGCGUGAGUGAUGAAGGCAUUAGGGUUGUAAAGCUCUUUUACCCGGGAUGAUAAUGACAGUACCGGGAGAAUAAGCCCCGGCUAACUCCGUG